GGGGCUGUGGAGGAGGCUGGAGUCCUCGGCUCUCUGUCACAGAGCAGAUCGUGGGUUCAAAUCCCAUCAGCCCCGCCA
rnacentral:tRNA from 1 species